rnacentral:lncRNA from 1 species
GCCAGUUCAAAACCAAUUCAGAAAGAAGAACUGCUGAGUUUCUAACCAGAACAGUUUCCAGAUGACUGCAACAGUGCAUCAGGUAUGCAUGCUUUCCAUGUCACCUUUGUGAACAAACAGGAUGAGAAGUGUCCAUGUAUGGUUCUGCAGUUGGUUUGGGUAUGCAUCUGUUCUGCAGUUGUUCCACAAGUCUGGUCUUCCAGAGUGAGAAACCAACUGGAGUUUAUUGGAAAAGCUUUAGACCUGAGGUCCAGAAUGGCUGUGUUUGGGUGAGGUUGGUGGCUUGCACCUGCAUGCAAUGGUAUGACUGUCUAUUGAAAUGUGUAUUCACCCUGGUUUUGCAAUAAGAGCUGCUCCAUAGAGCUUGCAUGCUGGGGCUGGGGAAGGACUGGGCAGGUUAUCACAUCUGGUCCUCUGCAGCUGGAGUCUCCAAUGGAGCAUUCACUCCACACACCACAAAAUGGUUCAAGCCAGCAGCAAACGUAGAGCUUGCAGCAGAAGUCUGAAAGCCAUAACGUGUGUUGUUCUGCUUGGAAGGUGCUGGAGAAACCAAAAGCAUUAUUUGCUGCCUGUGGUCACCUCAAACUGUUAAAUGUGUAACUUAAUAUAUUAUUAUAAGCCUGCAAAAACUUCACUGGUCAGUGAGGUAUAUCAGUGAAUUCUGUGUGUGUUAAUAAUCUUUAGGCUCUUAGCUAAAUCAUAGUCAUGUUUUAUUUAGUAAAUGCUGGGUUGGAGG